CCUCUAAUUCUUUGGCAAUCUUCAGUCCUGCAAUCAGAGCUUCAUAUUCUGCUCCGUUAUUUAUCGUAGAAAAUUUAAAGUGCAGCACGUACUCUGCGAUAAUUCUUUUCGGAUUGAUCAAGAUCAGACCCGCACCUGCGCCUGACAUGUUGGAGGAACCGUCCACAUAGAGGGCCCAAAAGCAAUCAGAGAGAUCUGUUCUUUCUUCAGGGGAGUUCGGCUGGAGCCCCGAGUUGUCAGCUUU
rnacentral:lncRNA from 1 species